AUGAACAAAGUAACUUUGCCAUAAGUGUUAAAAGUUAUGGUUCUCCUUCAAAAAGAGCAAAGGAAACUGGGAUUUAGACGGCCUGGAUAGCAGACCUUCAAGACACACCACCUCAUGCAGAAGACUGUAGAACAACUGUGGUUACUCAGUAACCAGGGAAAAAAGUGGCUAGCAUAUUCUCAGAAGAACCAUCAAAAGAUGACAACAAAAGAAUACUCAUAAGACCAUCUCAUACUCCAUGCAAUGUGGAGCAGCUGUGAUCAACUAGUUUGCUUCCAGGCCCCCUAAAUUUCAAUACAUGUUGUGCUUUGAUGGUGCCUUGAGAUGCACUGAAAUAUACCUUGACAGACCCUUGAAGCAAAAGGAAAAUGAAAUGAAGAUGCCUGAAGAUAUUUGGAAAAUAAAACCUCGAAUACUACA